GUGAACGCUGGCGGCAUGCCUUACACAUGCAAGUCGAACGGCAGCACGGGAGCUUGCUCCUGGUGGCGAGUGGCGAACGGGUGAGUAAUGCAUCGGAACAUAUCCUGUCGUGGGGGAUAACGCAGCGAAAGCUGUGCUAAUACCGCAUACGAUCUGAGGAUGAAAGCGGGGGACCGAAAGGCCUCGCGCGAUUGGAGUGGCCGAUGUCGGAUUAGCUAGUUGGUGGGGUAAAAGCCUACCAAGGCGACGAUCCGUAGCGGGUCUGAGAGGAUGAUCCGCCACACUGGAACUGAGACACGGUCCAGACUCCUACGGGAGGCAGCAGUGGGGAAUUUUGGACAAUGGGGGAAACCCUGAUCCAGCCAUGCCGCGUGGGUGAAGAAGGCCUUCGGGUUGUAAAGCCCUUUCGGCCGGGAAGAAAUCCCUAACGUGAAUAGCGUUGGGGGAUGACGGUACCGGAAGAAGAAGCACCGGCUAACUACGUGCCAGCAGCCGCGGUAAUACGUAGGGUGCGAGCGUUACUCGGAAUUACUGGGCGUAAAGCGUGCGCAGGCGGAUUUUUAAGCCAGAUGUGAAAUCCCCGGGCUUAACCUGGGAACUGCGUUUGGAACUGGAAGUCUGGAGUGUGUCAGAGGGGGGUGGAAUUCCACGUGUAGCAGUGAAAUGCGUAGAGAUGUGGAGGGACACCGAUGGCGAAGGCAGCCCCCUGGGAUAACACUGACGCUCAUGCACGAAAGCGUGGGGAGCAAACAGGAUUAGAUACCCUGGUAGUCCACGCCCUAAACGAUGUCAACUGGUUGUUGGAGGAGUUAAAUCCUUUAGUAACGAAGCUAACGCGUGAAGUUGACCGCCUGGGAAGUACGGCCGCAAGGUUAAAACUCAAAGGAAUUGACGGGGACCCGCACAAGCGGUGGAUUAUGUGGAUUAAUUCGAUGCAACGCGAAAAACCUUACCUACCCUUGACAUGUACGGAACUUGGCAGAGAUGUCUUGGUGCCCGAAAGGGAGCCGUAACACAGGUGCUGCAUGGCUGUCGUCAGCUCGUGUCGUGAGAUGUUGGGUUAAGUCCCGCAACGAGCGCAACCCUUAUCAUUAGUUGCUACGCAAGGGCACUCUAAUGAGACUGCCGGUGACAAACCGGAGGAAGGUGGGGAUGACGUCAAGUCCUCAUGGCCCUUAUGGGUAGGGCUUCACACGUAAUACAAUGGUCGGUACAAAGGGUUGCGAAGCCGCGAGGUGGAGCCAAUCCCAAAAAGCCGAUCGUAGUCCGGAUUGCAGUCUGCAACUCGACUGCAUGAAGUCGGAAUCGCUAGUAAUCGUGGAUCAGCAUGUCACGGUGAAUACGUUCCCGGGUCUUGUACACACCGCCCGUCACACCAUGGGAGCGGGUUCUACCAGAAGUAGCUAGUCUAACCGCAAGGGGGACGGUUACCACGGUAGGAUUCGUGACUGGGGUG
rnacentral:rRNA from 1 species